rnacentral:rRNA from 1 species
UACACUCCUGCGGGAGGCAGCAGUGGGGAAUUUUGGACAAUGGGCGAAAGCCUGAUCCAGCAAUGCCGCGUGCAGGAUGAAGGCCUUCGGGUUGUAAACUGCUUUUGUACGGAACGAAAAAGCUCCUUCUAAUACAGGGGGCCCAUGACGGUACCGUAAGAAUAAGCCCCGGCUAACUACGUGCCAGCAGCCGCGGUAAUACGUAGGGUGCGAGCGUUAAUCGGAAUUACUGGGCGUAAAGCGUGCGCAGGCGGUUAUGUAAGACAGAUGUGAAAUCCCCGGGCUCAACCUGGGAACUGCAUUUGUGACUGCAUGGCUAGAGUACGGUAGAGGGGGAUGGAAUUCCGCGUGUAGCAGUGAAAUGCGUAGAUAUGAGGAGGAACACCGAUGGCGAAGGCAAUCCCCUGGACCUGUACUGACGCUCAUGCACGAAAGCGUGGGGAGCAAACAGGAUUAGAAACCCUGGUAGUCCCAUG